rnacentral:rRNA from 1 species
GGAGCGUUCUGUAAGCCUGCGAAGGUGUGCUGUGAGGCAUGCUGGAGGUAUCAGAAGUGCGAAUGCUGACAUAAGUAACGAUAAAGCGGGUGAAAAGCCCGCUCGCCGGAAGACCAAGGGUUCCUGUCCAACGUUAAUCGGGGCAGGGUGAGUCGACCCCUAAGGCGAGGCCGAAAGGCGUAGUCGAUGGGAAACAGGUUAAUAUUCCUGUACUUGGUGUUACUGCGAAGGGGGGACGGAGAAGGCUAUGUUGGCCGGGCGACGGUUGUCCCGGUUUAAGCGUGUAGGCUGGUUUUCCAGGCAAAUCCGGAAAAUCAA